GACGAACGCUGGCGGCGUGCUUAACACAUGCAAGUCGAACGGAAAGGCCCUGCUUUUGUGGGGUGCUCGAGUGGCGAACGGGUGAGUAACACGUGAGUAACCUCCCCUUGACUUUGGGAUAACUUCAGGAAACUGGGGCUAAUACCGGAUAGGAGCUCCUGCUGCAUGGUGGGGGUUGGAAAGUUUCGGCGGUUGGGGAUGGACUCGCGGCUUAUCAGCUUGUUGGUGGGGUAGUGGCUUACCAAGGCUUUGACGGGUAGCCGGCCUGAGAGGGUGACCGGCCUCAAUGGGACUGAGAUACGGACCAGACUGCUACGGGAGGCAGCAGUGGGGAAUAUUGCACAAUGGGCGGAAGCCUGAUGCAGCAACGCCGCGUGCGGGAUGACGGCCUUCGGGUUGUAAACCGCUUUCGCCUGUGACGAAGCGUGAGUGACGGUAAUGGGUAAAGAAGCACCGGCUAACUACGUG
rnacentral:rRNA from 1 species